rnacentral:sRNA from 2 species
UCCGGAUCUCCGACGUACGAACGACAGGGGCGGGGGAACCACUUCCGGACACUGCGGUGUCCUCGGGGUGAAGUCGUGCGGGAUUCGUCCCGCCGGCCGGGUCAGUCUCCGACCCGAACCCGACAGCUAACUUCGUGGGCGCCAGGAGAUACUGC